rnacentral:rRNA from 1 species
UGGGGAAUAUUGCACAAUGGGCGCAAGCCUGAUGCAGCAAUGCCGCGUGAGUGAAGACGGCCUUAGGGUUGUAAAACUCUUUCGCUAGGGAAGAUAAUGACGGUACCUAGUAAAGAAGUCCCGGCUAACUCCGUGCCAGCAGCCGCGGUAAUACGGAGGGGACUAGCGUUGUUCGGAAUUACUGGGCGUAAAGCGCACGUAGGCGGACCAGAAAGUUGGGGGUGAAAUCCCGGGGGCUCAACCCCGGAACUGCCUCCAAAACUAUUGGUCUAGAGUUCGAGAGAGGUGAGUGGAAUUCCAAGUGUAGAGGUGAAAUUCGUAGAUAUUUGGAGGAACACCAGUGGCGAAGGCGGCUCACUGGCUCGAUACUGACGCUGAGGUGCGAAAGUGUGGGGAGCAAACAGGAUUAGAUACCCUGGGUAGUCCACACCGUAAAACGAUGAAUGCCAGUCGUCGGGUAGCAUGCUAUUCGGUGACACA